ACCUUCUGUGGUGUAGUUGGUAGCGCAUUGGCAUAGUACUUAUAUGUCCUAGGUUCAAGUCCCAGUAGGGGUA